AUCCUGGCUCAGAGCGAACGCUGGCGGCAGGCUUAACACAUGCAAGUCGAGCGGGCGUAGCAAUACGUCAGAGGCAGACGGGUGAGUAACGCGUGGGAACGUACCUUUUGGUUCGGAACAACACAGGGAAACUUGUGCUAAUACCGGAUAAGCCCUUACGGGGAAAGAUUUAUCGCCGAAAGAUCGGCCCGCGUCUGAUUAGCUAGUUGGUGAGGUAAUGGCUCACCAAGGCGACGAUCAGUAGCUGGUCUGAGAGGAUGAUCAGCCACAUUGGGACUGAGACACGGCCCAAACUCCUACGGGAGGCAGCAGUGGGGAAUAUUGGACAAUGGGGGCAACCCUGAUCCAGCCAUGCCGCGUGAGUGAUGAAGGCCCUAGGGUUGUAAAGCUCUUUUGUGCGGGAAGAUAAUGACGGUACCGCAAGAA
rnacentral:rRNA from 1 species